CCUACGGGAGGCAGCAGUGGGGAAUUUUGGACAAUGGGCGAAAGCCUGAUCCAGCAAUGCCGCGUGAGUGAAGAAGGCCUUCGGGUUGUAAAGCUCUUUUGUCAGGGAAGAAACGGUGUGGGCUAAUAUCCUGCACUAAUGACGGUACCUGAAGAAUAAGCACCGGCUAACUACGUGCCAGCAGCCGCGGUAAUACGUAGGGUGCAAGCGUUAAUCGGAAUUACUGGGCGUAAAGCGUGCGCAGGCGGUUUUGUAAGUCUGUCGUGAAAUCCCCGGGCUCAACCUGGGAAUUGCGAUGGAGACUGCAAGGCUAGAAUCUGGCAGAGGGGGGUAGAAUUCCACGUGUAGCAGUGAAAUGCGUAGAGAUGUGGAGGAACACCGAUGGCGAAGGCAGCCCCCUGGGUCAAGAUUGACGCUCAUACACGAAAGCGUGGGGAGCAAACAGGAUUAGAUACCCUGGUAGUCCACGCCCUAAACGAUGUCUACUAGUUGUCGGGUUUUAAUUAACUUGGUAACGCAGCUAACGCGUGAAGUAGACCGCCUGGGGAUACGGUCGCAAGNUUAAAACNCAAAGGAUUGACGGNNGAGAGNGCGAGACGACGACGAGGGAGGAGG
rnacentral:rRNA from 1 species